GAUUUGCUCUUCUAACUCGCGGCCGACACGGUGAAUAGAUAAAGUUUUUGCAUUUUUUUCGUCGUGGCUAAAGCCAAGAAAGAAAUUCGACAUAUCUUAACACUUUUAUAAUAAAAAGACGUACAAACGAUGGAUGGAAGGACAAAGGAUGGGUUUGGAAAAAGAAGGCGAAUCCCAACUCAAGCAAGCUGCCAGCUUUAAAGACAUGAUGCUAGGGCAGGAUGUAUUCAUUAAUACAGCUAAGUAACAAAAAGAUAGAUAAUGGUUACAAAUGAAAACUUGUAAAAAAAAAAUGAACCAGGCUAAUAAAAUAAACUAAAAGUAGUCAGAAACUUUGAAAACAAGUUAGAGUGGUUUAUUUCAUUCACCCUUUGACAAAGUGGCUGGUACAAAACACUGACCAAACAUUGGCCCUUAUUGCAAAUGGACUGAAUGGGUUUUCUAGUAAAAAAAAUAAAUAAAAUAAGCUGAUAUGAAUAUAGCUCGAUACUUAGGAAUCUGAGAUGAUAUUUGCAAAAAUCAACAGCAAUGUACCAUUUGACCUUUCAUGCAAUUAUUUCAAAGAAAAUUUAGCACUGUACAUGGAAGUGAUGUGAAAUGAAAAUAUAGCUACCUUUUUUUUAACAAACCGCAUCUUUCUGUAAUGCCAAGCCCUAUUUUAUGUUUUAACACAAAAAUACCAGGUGUACAUACCCUUGAAACCAUGAUGCCUCAAUAUGAGGGUCUAGUCGGUCCAUGGACCUCCUCAUUGAGGGUCAGUGCUUUGUACGAUCCACCCAAGACAAAGUAUCAAUUCAUAGAGUAUUAGCUAAAAAAAAACAGUAAAGAAGGUUGAUAAAACUGUUUAUUUCUACCAAAUAACUUAUUACCCCUCAACUGAGAGAAAAUUAUAAAAAUCAAGAAAAUCUUGUAGUAGUGCAAUGUGAAACGAAGAAAGGGAAUUUGGACAGUGUAGGCAAGUAUGGAGCACAUUUACUGGCAAAAACGAUAUGCUAAUGUAUAGAAACGCAUUGUGUGCUGAUAUGGUUUUAAAUGUUAAAGAGAAUAAAAAAGCACCCAUUUUACUGUAAAAA